rnacentral:lncRNA from 1 species
CGCAGCUGGCGACUCCAGCUCUCCCAGGCUGCCGGGCACGGGCUCGGCGCCGCGAGUCCGAGCCGCGCCGCGCCGCGCCGCUCGCAGCCCCAACUUGCCCGCCUCGCAAACUUGCCCCGGCUCCUGACAGGGCGCGGCUGGAGGCAAGCACUCUCCAAGAUAAU